rnacentral:lncRNA from 1 species
AUGCCACAGGAGGACCAACGGUGCCUCCUUCCCCCUGCCGGAGAGAUGAGGAAGCACCCAAGGGCCUUGUGUUCCUGGAUCCUGCACCUGCUGGCAGGGCUGCUCAUCAGGAAGGAACCCUCCAAGGACAUCCCUGUCACAGCCUUCCUUGAUGAGCUGCUGGGCUUUAGGGGAGAGGACAACACUGUCCAGAACUACUUCCUGAAGCACCUGCAAAGUCGGUGCAUGAUGAUGAGUGGCCUGGUGCUCGGAGGCCUCGUGAUGCUGUCUGAGAGACCUGAGGUGGCAAGAAAAACGUGCUCGGCUGCUGCCAAAAAUCAUGGGUCGACCGUAGGACAUGGAUAAGGAUGUCAGCGCAAAGGCCCUGCUUGUGCUUAGCCACGUGCUCCGUUUCAUGGACAGGCAGAUGGCUGGCCCCAUCGCUUUGCAACUAGCCGAGAAGCUCCUGCCACUACUUAGAUGAUGUAAAGGCUGGGGGGAGACCUGGGGGCCCUCUUGGCCUGUCCAUGGGCCUCUAGGCACGGUCAUGCCUGUGGUGUGUUUGUCUCCACGUGCAUUUGCAGGUAUGUGAAACCGUGCCUCCUGCCGUGGGCCCUGGGCACUGUCAGGAAACAUUUAGCCCUGUGGUUAUCAAGACCGUUGCCUUGUCCUGCCCUUGGUGUCCUAGGCUGUCUGCAGGCCAAUGCUUGCCCUCAGAGCCCAGAGGGCUCA